CGAUUCGUCAAAAAAAAAAAAAUGUGUCAAGCAGGAUGGUGAGAACCCACUGACAAUGAUUUUCCGAAAGCCUUGUCACUUGGAAGUGGCCAAAAUAAUCCAAAGUCCUACUUUGUUAAGGAAAAUAAACACAAAAAAAUGAGAGGGAUCCCGGCCAAUCGAUGAAUGCAACCGCUGACAGCAUCGGCCUACUAUCCCGUUCAACUGUCCAUUGUGUUAUCAAUGAAGACCUAUGGUACCACAGCUAUGCAAAUCGCAAGGGACAGCUUCUAACUUGGUCAAACAGGGAGAAAAGUGUCACCUAACCAAGGCUUUGAUCAAGCUAAAACAGAAGCCUCCCGUUAAAGAUCUUGCCUCUUCUCACAUUAGAAAAAUUUAUGUUAAAUCCAGAAGCAUAACUCAAGGAACAAUGGAGGGUUGGUAAAAAGUCUUUAUAAAGUCCAUAGGAUCACAGGCCUGAAGGUCAACCCUUGGGUCUACAUCAGUAUUAUGCGCACAUCAGUUUUUCCCUCGAUCUUCGACGACAUCAUGAAAAACCUACCUUAGAUCUGGCAGCAAGACAUGAUAAUGAAGAUCGCACCAUCAAAAGAAAACUGGAUUUUCUUGAGUCUGAGGUUUCCAAUGAAAGUCCUACAGCACCACAAGAUCCCUGAGAGCUAAUUCCAGACUUCAACUAGUGAGACGGGUAUUGAAUUAAUAAGUCAUUAACUACAUUUAGUUAUUCUUGUUAGAGGUGGAUUUGGUCUAGGCCCGAGCCGAAAAUCCUCCCAUCUGAAAUUUAUGUUUAUACAUUUCCAUCAAUUCUGAAGUUAAUUCCUCUAGAGCUCUUCGUUUACUCACUUACUCCCUGAAUAAUCUAUCUUUGAACCUUGGGCGAAGGAGUGUUGAAAUAGCCAGUGCAAUACUUUCCGGGUGGAAACUUGGAACUUUUACCCUUGGAACCUGGCAUUCUUUAACAAAAAUAUAAGAUAUUCUAAUAUAUACUCAUGUGAGCUAAAUAU
rnacentral:lncRNA from 1 species